rnacentral:rRNA from 1 species
AGUGCACGCUGGCGGUUGGCCUAACACAUGCAAGUCGAACGGCAGCACAGUAAGAGCUUGCUCUUACGGGUGGCGAGUGGCGGACGGGUGAGGAAUACAUCGGAAUCUACUUUUUCGUGGGGGAUAACGUAGGGAAACUUACGCUAAUACCGCAUACGACCUACGGGUGAAAUCAGGGGAUCUUCGGACCUUGCGCGAUUGAAUGAGCCGAUGUCGGAUUAGCUAGUUGGCGGGGUAAAGGCCCACCAAGGCGACGAUCCGUAGCUGGUCUGAGAGGAUGAUCAGCCACACUGGAACUGAGACACGGUCCAGACUCCUACGGGAGGCAGCAGUGGGGAAUAUUGGACAAUGGGCGCAAGCCUGAUCCAGCCAUACCGCGUGGGUGAAGAAGGCCUUCGGGUUGUAAAGCCCUUUUGUUGGGAAAGAAAAGCAGCAGGUUAAUACCCCGCUGUUCUGACGGUACCCAAAGAAUAAGCACCGGCUAACUUCGUG